GGACACCGUAGCAAAAGGGAAUGCGCUGCCUUUUCACGGCAGAAACGUAGGUUCGAGUCCUGUCGGCGUCUA
rnacentral:tRNA from 1 species